rnacentral:rRNA from 1 species
CCUACGGGGAGCAGCAGUGGGGAAUAUUGGGCAAUGGGCGAGAGCCUGAACCAGCAAAGUCGCGUGAGGGAGUACUGCCCUAUGGGUUGUAAACCUCUUUUGUCGGGGAGCAAAAGCCGGACGUGUCCGGCGGUGAGAGUACACGAAGAAAAAGCAUCGGCAAACUCCGUCCAAGCAGCCGCGGAAAUACGGAGGAUGCGAGCGGUAUCCGGAGUCAUUGGGGUGAAGGGGAGCGCGGGGGAAUGCUAAAGUAAGGGGAAAAAUCGGGGGGCUAACCACAUCCAGCCGUUGAAACUGGGGAUCUUGAGUGUGCGAGAGGUAUGCGGAAUGCGUGGUGUAGCGGUGAAAUGCAUAGAUAUCACGCAGAACCCCGAUUGCGAAGGCAGCAUACCGGUGCCCAACUGACGCUGAAGCACGAAAGCGUGGGUAUCGAACAGGAUUAGAUACCCGAGUAGUC